CAGGCAUCCAAAGGCCCACUGAAGGGCAUCCUGGGCUACAGUGAGGACCAGGUUGUCUCCUGUGACUUCAGCAGCGACUCCCACUCCUCCACCUUUGAUGCUGGGGCUGACAACUUUGUAAAGCUCAUUUUCUGUUAUGAUGAUGAAUAUGGCUACAGCAACAGAGUGGUAGAUCUCAUGGCCUACAUGGCCUCCAAGGAGUAA
rnacentral:lncRNA from 1 species